rnacentral:rRNA from 1 species
GUAAGACUAAUACCCAAUGACGUCUCUAGAAGACAUCUGAAAGGGAUUAAAGAUUUAUCGGUGAUGGAUGGGGAUGCGUCUGAUUAGCUUGUUGGCGGGGUAACGGCCCACCAAGGCAACGAUCAGUAGGGGUUCUGAGAGGAAGGUCCCCCACAUUGGAACUGAGACACGGUCCAAACUCCUACGGGAGGCAGCAGUGAGGAAUAUUGGUCAAUGGACGAGAGUCUGAACCAGCCAAGUAGCGUGCAGGAUGACGGCCCUAUGGGUUGUAAACUGCUUUUAUAAGGGAAUAAAGUGAGUCUCGUGAGGCUUUUUGCAUGUACCUUAUGAAUAAGGACCGGCUAAUUCCGUGCCAGCAGCCGCGGUAAUACGGAAGGUCCGGGCGUUAUCCGGAUUUAUUGGGUUUAAAGGGAGCGUAGGCCGGAGAUUAAGCGUGUUGUGAAAUGUAGGUGCUCAACAUCUGCACUGCAGCGCGAACUGGUUUCCUUGAGUACGCACAAAGUGGGCGGAAUUCGUGGUGUAGCGGUGAAAUGCUUAGAUAUCACGAAGAACUCCGAUUGCGAAGGCAGCUCACUGGAGCGCAACUGACGCUGAAGCUCGAAAGUGCGGGUAUCGAACAGGAUUAGAUACCCUGGUAGUCCGCACGGUAAACGAUGGAUGCCCGCUGUUGGUCUGAAUAGGUCAGCGGCCAAGCGAAAGCAUUAAGCAUCCCACCUGGGGAGUAC